rnacentral:rRNA from 1 species
UGUGUAGGAUAGGUGGGAGGCUUUGAAGUGUGGACGCCAGUCUGCAUGGAGCCGACCUUGAAAUACCACCCUUUAAUGUUUGAUGUUCUAACGUUGGCCCCUAAUCGGGGUUGCGGACAGUGUCUGGUGGGUAGUUUGACUGGGGCGGUCUCCUCCUAAAGAGUAACGGAGGAGCACGAAGGUUGGCUAAUCCUGGUCGGACAUCAGGAGGUUAGUGCAAUGGCAUAAGCCAGCUUGACUGCGAGCGUGACGGCGCGAGCAGGUGCGAAAGCAGGUCAUAGUGAUCCGGUGGUUCUGAAUGGAAGGGCCAUCGCUCAACGGAUAAAAGGUACUCCGGGGAUAACAGGCUGAUACCGCCCAAGAGUUCAUAUCGACGGCGGUGUUUGGCACCUCGAUGUCGGCUCAUCACAUCCUGGGGCUGAAGUAGGUCCCAAGGGUAUGGCUGUUCGCCAUUUAAAGUGGUACGCGAGCUGGGUUUAGAACGUCGUGAGACAGUUCGGUCCCUAUCUGCCGUGGGCGCUGGAGAACUGAGGGGGGCUGCUCCUAGUACGAGAGGACCGGAGUGGACGCAUCACUGGUGUUCGGGUUGUCAUGCCAAUGGCACUGCCCGGUAGCUAAAUGCGGAAGAGAUAAGUGCUGAAAGCAUCUAAGCACGAAACUUGCCCCG